UCGCAAGAGGGAUCCAUGGUUAGUGGCGCACGGGUGAGUAACGCGUAGGUAAUCUGCCUUCAGGACCGGAACAACCAUUGGAAACGAUGGCUAAUGCCGGAUAAGACCACGUAUAGCAAUGUAUGGGGUAAAAGGAGUAAUUCACCUGGAGAUGAGCCUGCGUCCUAUCAGGUAGUUGGUAAGGUAAUGGCUUACCAAGCCUAAGACGGGUAGCCGGUCUGAGAGGAUGAACGGCCACACUGGAACUGAGACACGGUCCAGACUCCUACGGGAGGCAGCAGUGAGGAAUUUUGCGCAAUGGGGGAAACCCUGACGCAGCGACGCCGCGUGGAGGAAGAAGGCCUUCGGGUUGUAAACUCCUUUUGUAGGGAAAGAUGAUGACGGUACCUUACGAAUAAGCCACGGCUAACUCUGUGCCAGCAGCCGCGGUAAGACAGAGGUGGCAAGCGUUGCUCGGAAUUACUGGGCUUAAAGGGUGCGUAGGCGGUUAGAUAAG
rnacentral:rRNA from 1 species